GAAAGAAAGAUAUAAUAAUCAGGGACUCCUACUGCUCAUGGAAAAGGAUCAGGGUCCAUCUCUCAGAUAGGCCAGUUAGACCAGAAGAGGUGCUGGUUGAGGGUGGAGGUAAUCUGGAAUGGGCAGUAGAGAAGGAAGAUGAUGAGUAUUGAUUGUGACCUUGACACCAGCUGUGGUAUUGGUGGGGGCAAGGAUGUGGUUCAUCCCACUGUCUUUACAAGUUUCCUUAGGAAAAGAGACCAAUAAGAACACUGAAGGAGCUCUUCCAAGAUGGAGUGAACUUAUUCUAUGAAACAAGUGGACUCAAAAUGUGCUAGGAGUGCACUGUAGUGGGUGCUGUGGUGAGUUGCCCAGAUUCUCUUUUCAGGAUGGAGGCCCUCAUUUACCCAGCUGCUGGGAGUGUUGGCAGUUGACGGUUCUCAGCUGAGUCAUUCUCUGGAAAUUUCUUUCAGCUAAAGAGAACCACCUUGCCCAACCAAGGUCACACCUUGGGGGCAGUCACAUCCAAUGACUGCUUGAUGAGAGGGCCCACCCUGAAGGUAAUUCCAGCUCCAGAGGUCCCUGUAAGGCUCAGCUGAGGCUUCUGUCGAAUUGCAUUGCAGAUCGACUCAAUCCUACUUCUGUUCCCUCUAAGAUCUCCCCUUAAUAAACCUCUUAUAUGCAGAUUUCAGAAUCUCAGGGCCUGUUUCCUGAGGAACCUGACCUACAACACAAGGUCUGCAUGCAGAUGGAGUUUGUGGUUCAGCAUUUCUUACAACAUCGCAGUUCUUUGUAUGGAAAUACGCUUUCAUUUAUUUUGGGAAAACACCUUGGAGUAGGAUUGCUGAGUUGUAUGGAAAAUGUAUGCCCAACUUCCGAAGGAGAUGCCACACUGUCUUCCAAAGAGAAUAUACUAUUUGCUUUCCCAUCAGCAAUGUCUAAGGGUUCCAGUUGCUCUACAUCCUCCCCAGGACUUGGUAUUGUAGAUGUUGAAUAUUCCAGAACCAUUUGUUGAAGAGACUAUCUUUUUCCUAUUGAAUUAUUUUGGCACCUUGUUAAAAAGCAAUAG